GUCUUAAGAUCUUUGCUACUGUUGUGUGGCACUGCACACAGCUCUAAGCAAAGGAGGAAUCCCUCAUCAAAAGACCAGUGGUGCCAAAGAAACUGUCUCAUCCUGGGAUUGCAAAAGUCAGUGUGGCCAGAUGGGAGUCAGAGGCAAUGCUUUCAAGCCAGCUGCUAGGCCUACCUGGGAGGCAGGUGUCUGGUUACAGGCCCUGUCAGUCACUGCACCGCUCUCUUUGUGCCGUUGCCUCAAAGGGAAGCCUUCAUGUUGAACUCACCACAUCAAACACAACAGACAGCUAGAACAUAUCCGGAGCUGUCGCACUGGGCGAACACAAGCCGGAUCACCUCCUCACGUACUGUCACAACGUCCUGUGUAUUCACUCACCACAAUCACGACUGCACGCACCCGAGACGGGUGACCGUAUUCUUGUUUCUUUUGUUCAGGACUGUAUCCUGUGUUUUGUCAGCCCGAGCUUUACACAUCGUUGUGUAUUGCCGGGCUUAUUAUUUUGAGCACUAGACCAGUGCUGGCAAAUAAAGCCUAUUUUUCCACUGGACUACCGUUGUCUGCUCAUUACUCCUGCACCGCAUCACUGCUACACAGCUACCCCU